UACGGGGGGGGCAAGCGUUGUUCGGAAUUACUGGGCGUAAAGGGCUCGUAGGUGGCCAACUAAGUCAGACGUGAAAUCCCUCGGCUUAACCGGGGAACUGCGUCUGAUACUGGAUGGCUUGAGUUUGGGAGAGGGAUGCGGAAUUCCAGGUGUAGCGGUGAAAUGCGUAGAUAUCUGGAGAAACACCGGUGGCGAAGGCGGCGUUCUGGACUGCAACUGACACUGAGGAACGAAAGCCAGGGGAGCAAACGGG
rnacentral:rRNA from 1 species